UUCUUCUCCGCUCCACGGCCGCCGCCCCUAUUCUUCUUCCCGUCCUGCCGCAGCCAACCGCAGCCAGCCGUCGAUCCUUUCUCCUCCGUUUUCUUUCCGCCGCAGCCCAGCCGCCGUCUCUGUUCGCGAAGCAAGGCCGCCGCGUGACCUUCCGCCCACCGCCGCGUGACCUUCCGCCCACCGCCGUGUGACCCUCUGUCCAGAUCUGCACCGCUAGAUCGAGGCGUCCACCGGGUUCGUCUGUUUCUGUCUCCGUUCACCGAAGCCGAACCCAACCGCCACCCUUUCUUUUCUUCUUCGAGCCAAAAACUGCCACUGCAACCGUCAGCCGCCGCGUGACCUCUGCCCAGCACCGCCGCGCGACCUCUGUCUCCGCGCCGUUACCCAGAUCUGCGUCGCCGUGCCCCGUCCUAAUCGUCUCUGUCUCCGUCGAAGUUUUGUUGGUAAGAUUGAAGUUAUGAAAUUGUAGUCGUUUCCAAAACAAUUUAAGUAUGGGUUGUGAUGUUUUCAAGGUGUUCAAACGUUACGGAUGGGUUAAUUGACUAAUUUGAUAAAUUAUUCUUGAAGGUGUGAAAGGUAACUUUGGAUCACUUAAAUUCACAACCAAUUUGUGAAUUGUUGAGGGUUCAGUUCGCCAGUAUUUCGGUAAGUUGUGGAAUUUACAUAUGGAGUAAUUUGAAAGGUUGAAACUAUUUAGAACGAUGUUGAUUUUAUGAUUGAUUAUGUUUAGGAUUUGAUUCAUUGGAUUUAGUAGAUUGAAGAAUUUGCAUAGAAAUCGAGGUAAGGGAUUUUCUACUGGACUCACUUAUGAUUGUGAAUUGUAUGUCUGAAUGAUUAUCUUUGACUGAGUAAAGAUGUUGAGAUGAUACUUAUGUUUAUACACGUAUGGGUGUAGAUUCGGUGCUGAAUGUACACUGUGGAUUGACUGAAAAUAUAUAUACAUAUGCAUAGGAAUUGAAGUAGACUUAAUGUGGAAUGCAUAUUGUGAUUGUCAUGGAAUAUAUAUAUAUGUGUGUGGAUGUGGACAGGACGAAAAUUGUAGAUUAUGCUUGUAUGAGAUGCAGAUGCGAUCUUGUGAUUGUCGUUUAGAUUGGGUGUCGUUACGCUAAAGUAUGACUGUGUGCUGGUGAUCUGAGGGGUGUAUUGACUGUAUAGUUUGAUUGACUGAUGUAUUAGUAUGUUAUUGACAGACAUAUGACCUAAGUGAGAUAAGUUGACUGUUGAGACGAAGGAACUCUAUGUUUUGAAGUAUCUGAAAGAUGGGUUGAAUGGAAUGAGGGGAUAAAUUGUUAGGUUGUAUUGGGAUGAUUACCUUGUAGGUGUCCCACGGGAUCACCAAUUUAUUUUUGCACCUUCGGGAGCAUUUGACUGAUAUGUGUUCUGCAGAACACUUGACUGAUAUGUACGUCCCUCGGGGCGUCAGACUGAUAUGUACGUCCUUCGGGGCGUUAGACUGAUAUGUGUAUCCUACGGGAUCACAAGACUGCGACUGUACAGGGUGUCCCAAUAGAACUUUAACAAUUUAUUUUCCCCUGACGAGACCAGUAGAGGGUCUCUUACUGAGUAUUUAAAAUACUCACCCUUCUUAUGUUUAAUUUUCAGGCAAAGGUAAUAAAGGCGGCAAACCGGCGAGGGGCAGGAAGGAAGCGUGAUGCCAUAGGAAACGUGUAAUUGCUUCCGCUUAUUUAAGAUUGAUUUGAAAUUUAGUUUACAAACGUUUGUUGCAAACAGUAUUAUUUUAUGUUUUCUUGAAUGUUUAAAAAUCAGGCCUGACUUGAAGAUGUUUUUUUUUUAAAAAUUUCUUACGUUUUGUUUUAUAUUAAUCAAAGUCGUUUAUUUUGUUAAAAAUUAACGAUCUCGACUUACUUAGAAAAGUUGGGUCGUUACAGUUGGUAUCAGAGCCUAAGUUUUAGGUUCUGUAGACUGACUUACGAUGUAAGUCUAUGUUUUUGUGUUCCUAUGGCUAACGCGACCCUUCGUCUCUCGUCAGGUAUGCUUUAUGCUUAUAUGUAUGGUUUAUGUAUAUGACCUUGCCUAAGUUAAACUAGAAUUACAUGAAUGUUAUGAUUUAAUGGUGAAGGAUUUAAUGGUGAAAUUUAGGAAAAAUGUUGCCAUGUAGAGGUGUUCAAAGGAGUGGUCGAGUAGUAGAAAAGUAAGACGUUGUUAGCGAAAUUGUCUGUUUUGUGAUUGGAAAUCUAAGAAAAAUAAGUUAUGUAGGUGGUUUUAAAGAGGACUAAAUACACGGUCAAGUUUAUACGAAACACAUUAAAUGGUUUUAGAAUGGAGGUAUUGGAAAAGAAACAAGGAAGAUGAGCAUGGUUGUCUUGAUGUGACUUUAAGAAACAAUUUUGAGUUUCUCGUGAAUGAAAAGUUACUAGUUUGGAGUUUGAAAAUUGGAAUGUAGUUUAACCAUGUAAACAUAAAAUGUUCAGCGAAAAUGUAGUUUCUAAUCCUUCUCCAGAGGCUAGUUUCAAGUACAAAGAGGUUGGAACUAUCGUUUCGCUAAAAGUUAUCCCAGCUAUGAAGGUUAGUAAGUUGCUUGACCAGGGUACCUGUUGUAUUUGACUAGUGUGGUAGACACCAGAGAAGUCGAUGUUUCUUUGUUAUUUGAAUCAGUGGUGAAAAAGUAUUAUGAUAUUUUUCUAGAAGAGUUUCUAAGAUUACCGCGCUAAACAGAAAUUGGUCUUGUUAUUGAGAUAGAGUUAGACUCGUUCCUAUAUCUAAAGCUUCAUACAAAAUGGCCCCAACAGAGUUGAAAGAUUUGAAGGUGCAAUUGAAAGAAAUGUUUGACAAGGACUACAUUCGACGAAGUAUGAUAUCUUGGGGUGCACCAAUUUUUGUUUAUUAAGAAGAAAGAUGGGUCGAUGCACUUAUGUUUUGAUUGUAGAAAGUUGAAUAAGGUGUCGGUUAAGAAUAAAUAUCUUUUACCAAUGAAUGAGGAUUUGUUUGAUCAACUGCAAUAAGUCCGUGUUCUUUAAGAUUGAAUUACAUUCAGGUUAUGACUUGUUGAGGAUUAGAGAACAGUGACAUUCCUAAGGCAGAUUUUCGUUCGAGAUAUGGACAUCAUGAGUUCAUUAUGAUGUCUUUUGAGUUGGCAAAUGCUCAAACAAUGUUUACGACUUGAUGAACAAAGUGUUUAACGAUCUCUUAGACACUUUUGUGAUUGUAUCUAUUGACGAUAUCUUAAUUUAUUCCAAAAUAGAGACAGCGCAUGAGGAGCAUUUAACAUGGUUUUAGAGGCUCUUCGAGUCAACAAAUUGUAUGCAAAGUUUUCAAAAUGUGAGUUUUGGAUGAGGCCAAGUAUCUUUCCAAGCCAUGUGGUAUCUAGAGAUGACAUUUAUGUGGAUCUCAUAAAAGAUUGAAGUCGUUACCAGUUGGCCUCAACUUUUCAUAGUCAGUGAGGUUCGUAGUCUUUUUGGGUUCAGCAGGUUAUUACUAACGGUUUGUAUAAGAAUUUUCUCGUAUAGCUACUCCUUUGACUCAGUUAACUAAGAAAAGGGACUCUGUUUGUUUGGGACAAAGCCUAUGAGGAUAGUGUUCAGGAUCUUAAGCAGAAGCUUGUACAACUCCCGUGCUUACCGUACAUGAUGGUUCAGAAAGUUUCGUAAUUUAUAGUGAUGCUUUUAGGAAAGUUUAAAAGGUAUUCUGAUUCAACAAGUUAAAGUAGUUGCUUGUGCUCCUCGUCAGUUGAAGAGUCAUGAGGAAAAUUAUCCAACUUAUGAUAUGGAAUUGACAGUUGUGGUUUUUACAUUAAUGAUUUGAAGGCACUAUAUGUAUGAUGAAAAGAUAUAGAUAUUUUCUAACCAAAAGAGUAUAAAAUACUUCUUCACUCAAAAGAAGUUGAGUAUGAGAUAGCAAAGAUGGUUUCAGUUAGUAAAUGACUAUGAUUGUGAGAUUUUGUACCAUCCUGGUAAGGCGAAUGUGGUGGCUGAUGCUCUUAGUAGAAAAGUAUCACAUUCGGCAGCACUCAUUACUAGACAGGUACCAUUGCAUCGAGACUUGGAGAGAGCUGAGAUUGCAGUGUCUGUGGGGAGAGUCACCUCACAGCUAGCUCAAUUAACGGUGCAACCGACUCUGAGGCACAAGAUUGUUGAUGCUCAGAGUAAUGAUCCUUAUUUGAUGGAGAGACGUCGCCUUGUUGAAACAGGGCAGACUGAUGAGUUCUCCAUAUCCUCUGAUGGUGGGUUGAUGUUUGAGAGACGUUUAUGUGUGCCAGCGAACAGUACAGUUAAGAUUGACUUACUAGAUGAAGCCCAUAAUUCCCCAUUUUCCAUGCAUCCUGGUAGCACGAAAAUGUAUCAGGAUCUAAAACGAUUUUACUGGUGGCGGAAUAUGAAAAGGGAAGUGGCGGAAUUUGUUAGUAAGUGUCUAGUAUGUCAGCAAGUUAAGGCACCUAGACAGAAACCAGCAGGUUUAUUACAACCUUUAAGUGUGCCAGAGUGGAAGUGAGAGAAUGUGUCGAUGGAUUUUAUUUCAGGGCUGCCUAAGACCCUGAAGGGUUUCACAGUGAUUCUGGUUGUCAUAGACAGGCUUACAAAAUCGGCACAUUUUGUACCAGGAAAAUCCACUUAUACUGCUAGUAAGUGGGCAGAGUUGUAUUUAACUGAGAUUGUGAGACUGCAUGGAGUGCCUGUAUCGAUUGUUUCUGAUAGGGAUGCACGGUUUACUUCCAAGUUUUGGAAGGGACUUCAGACUGCUAUGGGUACGAGAUUGGAUUUCAGUACAGCCUUUCAUCCACAGACUGAUGGUCAAACUGAACGUUUGAACCAAGUUUUAGAGGAUAUGCUACGAGCUUGUGUUAUAGAGUUUCCAGGUAGUUGGGACUCUCAUCUACAUUUGAUGGAGUUUGCUUAUAACAACAGUUUCCAGGCUACCAUCGGUAUGGCACCAUUUGAGGCUUUGUAUGGCAAAUGUUGUAGAACCCCUGUUUGUUGGAGUGAGGUUGGUGAACAUAGAUUGAUGGGACCUGAAUUAGUUCGGUCUACUAAUGAGGCUAUUCAAAAGAUUAGAGCACGUAUGCAAACAGCGCAGAGUAGACAGAAGAGUUAUGCGGAUGUACGGCGAAAAGACCUUAAGUUCGAUGUGGGAGAAAAGGUAUUCUUGAAGGUAGCACCUAUGAAGGGUGUUAUGCGUUUUGAGAAGAAAGGAAAGUUAAGUCCUCGUUUUGUUGGACCAUUUGAGAUCUUAGAGAGGGUUGGUGUUGUGGCGUAUCGCUUGGCAUUACCACCAUCUCUCUCUGCAGUUCAUAAUGUUUUUCAUGUUUCGAUGUUGAGGAAGUAUGUGGCCGAUACGUCUCAUGUAGUGGACUAUGAACCCUUGGAGAUUGAUGAGCAUUUGAGCUAUGUAGAACAACCUGUGGAGAUUCUGGCUAGAGAGGUAAAGAUGCUUCGUAAUAGAAGCAUUCCAUUAGUAAAGGUUUUGUGGCGGAAUCAUCGAAUUGAAGAGGCGACAUGGGAGCGAGAGGAAGAGAUGAGGACUCGUUAUCCAGAGUUAUUUCAGGAGUAAAACUUUCGAGGACGAAAGUUUCUUAAGGAGGGAAGAAUGUAAUGCCCCAAAGGUAUAUAUAUAUAUAUAUAUUUUGUUUUAUUUUAUAUAUAUAUAUAUAUAUAUAUAUAUAUUUAUUUAAUUAAUAUUUAAUUUAAAUAAAAAAAAGAAAAGAAAAAGAAAUUCUCUCUCUCUCUCUCGCGCGCUGCACAGCCCCCCCCCCCGUUCUCUUCUCUUUUCCUUUCUCUUUUCUUUCUUCUUUUUCUUCCUCUUUUCUUCUCCGCUCCACGGCCGCCGCCCCUAUUCUUCUUCCCGUCCUGCCGCAGCCAACCGCAGCCAGCCGUCGAUCCUUUCUCCUCCGUUUUCUUUCCGCCGCAGCCCAGCCGCCGUCUCUGUUCGCGAAGCAAGGCCGCCGCGUGACCUUCCGCCCACCGCCGCGUGACCUUCCGCCCACCGCCGUGUGACCCUCUGUCCAGAUCUGCACCGCUAGAUCGAGGCGUCCACCGGGUUCGUCUGUUUCUGUCUCCGUUCACCGAAGCCGAACCCAACCGCCACCCUUUCUUUUCUUCUUCGAGCCAAAAACUGCCACUGCAACCGUCAGCCGCCGCGUGACCUCUGCCCAGCACCGCCGCGCGACCUCUGUCUCCGCGCCGUUACCCAGAUCUGCGUCGCCGUGCCCCGUCCUAAUCGUCUCUGUCUCCGUCGAAGUUUUGUUGGUAAGAUUGAAGUUAUGAAAUUGUAGUCGUUUCCAAAACAAUUUAAGUAUGGGUUGUGAUGUUUUCAAGGUGUUCAAACGUUACGGAUGGGUUAAUUGACUAAUUUGAUAAAUUAUUCUUGAAGGUGUGAAAGGUAACUUUGGAUCACUUAAAUUCACAACCAAUUUGUGAAUUGUUGAGGGUUCAGUUCGCCAGUAUUUCGGUAAGUUGUGGAAUUUACAUAUGGAGUAAUUUGAAAGGUUGAAACUAUUUAGAACGAUGUUGAUUUUAUGAUUGAUUAUGUUUAGGAUUUGAUUCAUUGGAUUUAGUAGAUUGAAGAAUUUGCAUAGAAAUCGAGGUAAGGGAUUUUCUACUGGACUCACUUAUGAUUGUGAAUUGCAUGUCUGAAUGAUUAUCUUUGACUGAGUAAAGAUGUUGAGAUGAUACUUAUGUUUAUACACGUAUGGGUGUAGAUUCGGUGCUGAAUGUACACUGUGGAUUGACUGAAAAUAUAUAUACAUAUGCAUAGGAAUUGAAGUAGACUUAAUGUGGAAUGCAUAUUGUGAUUGUCAUGGAAUAUAUAUAUAUGUGUGUGGAUGUGGACAGGACGAAAAUUGUAGAUUAUGCUUGUAUGAGAUGCAGAUGCGAUCUUGUGAUUGUCGUUUAGAUUGGGUGUCGUUACGCUAAAGUAUGACUGUGUGCUGGUGAUCUGAGGGGUGUAUUGACUGUAUAGUUUGAUUGACUGAUGUAUUAGUAUGUUAUUGACAGACAUAUGACCUAAGUGAGAUAAGUUGACUGUUGAGAGAAGGAACUCUAUGUUUUGAAGUAUCUGAAAGAUGGGUUGAAUGGAAUGAGGGGAUAAAUUGUUAAGUUGUAUUGGGAUGAUUACCUUGUAGGUGUCCCACGGGAUCACCAAUUUAUUUUUGCACCUUCGGGAGCAUUUGACUGAUAUGUGUUCUGCAGAACACUUGACUGAUAUGUACGUCCCUCGGGGCGUCAGACUGAUAUGUACGUCCUUCGGGGCGUUAGACUGAUAUGUGUAUCCUACGGGAUCACAAGACUGCGACUGUACAGGGUGUCCCAAUAAAACUUUAACAAUUUAUUUUCCCCUGACGAGACCAGUAGAGGGUCUCUUACUGAGUAUUUAAAAUACUCACCCUUCUUAUGUUUAAUUUUCAGGCAAAGGUAAUAAAGGCGGCAAACCGGCGAGGGGCAGGAAGGAAGCGUGAAGCCAUAGGAAACGUGUAAUUGCUUCCGCUUAUUUAAGAUUGAUUUGAAAUUUAGUUUACAAACGUUUGUUGCAAACAGUAUUAUUUUAUGUUUUCUUGAAUGUUUAAAAAUCAGGCCUGACUUGAAGAUGUUUUUUUUUUAAAAAAUUUCUUACGUUUUGUUUUAUAUUAAUCAAAGUCGUUUAUUUUGUUAAAAAUUAACGAUCUCGACUUACCUAGAAAAGUUGGGUCGUUACACCAAUAAUAUAAAAUGGACAAGUACUCCAAGUACAUAUUGAAUAUGCAAGAGAACAAAGUAUAAGUAAUCAAUCUUGAACAAGAGAACUAGCCAAC
rnacentral:lncRNA from 1 species